GUUCAGUUGCAUUAAAAAUACGCAACCACUCUAUUAGCAAAGAGUUGCUCUAGGAUAAGAAUGAGGUUGGACCCAAUAACUGUUAGGUGAGAGAUCCAAUGACGGUCUUGCACCUGCUUGUGAAUAGUGGGUCAGACUUAACUAAAAAGUGUGGGCAAUAACUGUUAGGUGAGCCCACAUAACUUAGAGAUCAAGUCGCUGUAAUAUACUUAGAGAAGUAUCUGAGCAAAGAGUUGCCUACGCAUCGGUGUAUAUGUUACCAAUAACUGUUAGGUGAGG
rnacentral:lncRNA from 1 species